UACGUAGGGGGCAAGCGUUGUUCGGAAUUACUGGGCGUAAAGGGCGCGUAGGCGGCACGGCAAGUCAGAAGUGAAAGGCCUGGGCUUAACCCGGGAACUGCAUUUGAUACUGCGUGGCUAGAGUCCGAGAGAGGGUAGUGGAAUUCCCAGUGUAGAGGUGAAAUUCGUAGAUAUUGGGAAGAACACCAGUGGCGAAGGCGGCUACCUGGCUCGGUACUGACGCUCAGGUGCGAAAGCGUGGGGAGCGAACAGG
rnacentral:rRNA from 1 species